rnacentral:rRNA from 1 species
GACAGAGGGGGCAAGCGUUGCUCGGAAUUACUGGGCGUAAAGGGCGCGUAGGCGGGAUGGUAAGUCGGUCGUGAAAUCCCUCGGCUCAACCGAGGAACGUCGAUCGAUACUACCGUUCUUGAGGAUUGCAGAGGAGACUGGAAUUCUCGGUGUAGCGGUGAAAUGUGUAGAGAUCGGGAGGAACACCGGUGGCGAAGGCGGGUCUCUGGGUAGAUACUGACGCUGAGGUGCGAAAGCGUGGGGAGCAAACAGG